AAAAUUCCUCCGCGCACGGUCUCGUACCACUCCAUGAAUUCGCGCCUGGCUUCAGGCUUCAUUCUCUCCGGGUGGUAAUCCUGAGGAGGGGGAGGAAAAAGCAGCAGUUUCAGAUCAAGCUGAGGGCUCUGAAAUUCACAAUGGACCUGAAUGACCCCGCUGUGACGGAGGCCAUCCUGAAACUGCUGAAGGAGAAGCUGAAAGAGAAAGGGAUCACAGCAGGGGUCAAACUUAGAUGGGUCAAGAAGCCUGACAACACCAUCUUCCAGGAAGAGAAGGAAGAGAAGGAUGAACUGUAAACUGUAUUUACAGGAUAUCUUUCAUUUGUUUUACUUUGAAGGUUUAUGUUUUAGGUUGACAUGUUAGAGCCAACUAAUAAAUAUUAAACUGUCAUGUGAGACAUUUAUUGUUUAGGAGUAGAGCAGAGUAAAUUGUUCAGAAAACUGAACAAAUAUCUUAUUUAUCCUGUUGCUGUGUUGACAAAUUAAUGGUAGGACAGAUUUACAGAUGAUUUUAUGCAACAUACAUGAGAAAAUCUACACAUUUAAAACUUUCUCAUGUAUAAAUGUUGUAAUGAACUGCAGAGACAUCAGCGUAUCCCUGUAAAGCUGGAUUCAUUUAUAUAGCAUGUUGUUGGAUAUUUAAGUGUGAUAUGUGUGAUGUGGUAGGAUCUAAUAUUGUAGCUUUGAAAGAAAAUCUCUGAGACUGUGAGAGUCGAGUGAAUAUUCUUCAUUGUGUGGUUAUUUAAAUAUCUACAGAGCUGUAGCUGACUUUUAUCUGUCAUUUGUGUUAAAACAUACUGAUUAUUAUUUAUUACGUUGGUUUUGUUUUCAUACAUUUUUUGACAAUAACAAUUAUAAGCAGCUGUACUCUUUUAAAUUUAAAUGUGACACUAAAACUUAUAGUUUCUAAACCUUCUGAAUCAGCCGAGUUGCUACGUGAGCUCCUGAAUUAAGAAAAUAAAGUCAAUAUGAAUGUUAGAAACAUUACCUGAAACAAACUCUGAAAAUGAAAAAGUUCUCAUAGUUUACUUUGUAAUUAACUAUCUGGUUUAAACAGAGACUGAAAGCUGUUUUCCAUGAUCUUAAGGGGAUUUCAGGAAGUAAAUAACAUGCAAAUAAUGUUAUGUCACAGGACACUGUACCUGGAAACUUAGUGAGUGAUGAUUUUGUUGUUUAACUCUGACCAGGUGAGCUGAGAUUAAAUGUGAAGGCUGAUUUUGAACGAAACCUGUAAUAAUUUGCGGUGUUCUGACUGCUCUACUUGGUGGCAAUAAAGCACAAGAAAACCAAA